rnacentral:tRNA from 1 species
GCCUUCGUGGUGUAAUGAUCAGCAUUCUCGGCCCGUAUUCGAGAGGUCCGAGGUUCGAGUCCCGGCGAGGACA